CCUCGCUCAGUCGCUCCUGCAGAGCUGGUCAAGUUAAUAAAAAGCCAAAUAAAUACGAAAUCUGUUAAACUGAAACUUCAACAUAAUCCCGGGACACGUACGUUGGGUGGACAGACAGCUGGACAUAUGAGUGUGUGUGUGUGUGUGUAGUCCAUAGGAAAAUCAUUGCUGGCGACAAUAAAAAAACAUGAACACACGCACGCCAAGAUAAAGCUGGAGACGGAGAUGGAGAUGGAGAUAAACUAGGCACGGCAACAACAGCAACAACAACAGCAACAACAACAACAGAAAAUAGCGUGGAGACCUAAACAAAUAUGUUGCAAGCGUGACAGCGGCAAUCCAAGGAUCCAAGGACCUUCAGCCUCAAGGCUGUAGCUGUAGCUGAAACUGGAGCUGGAGCUGGAGCAGCUGGAGGUGGCGCGCAACAGGAAUUACCUCUAUUUGUCUUGAUUACGUCCUUUGUCCAUCAUUAUCGAGCACUGGGCUCAGUUGCGCCUGGCACUCGAUCUGGGGUCACAGCAACUCUCUGAUAUGCCAUGCGAUAUAGGUUGUUCGCUGGCUUUAUGAAAUGAAGACGCGUAAGAAGAGCAGGAGGAGUUGGAAAACUCUAGACAGCCCCACAGUGUCCUAAGUCAACAGCGAUGGCAUCGUUCAACACCUGGCCGGCGAACAGGUAGCACAAGGCACACCUUGGCGCUAAUAAGCUGCAAUUUGAUCAUAAUUAUCACUGAGAGUGGACACGGAGGGGGCGACGUAAUUUCAGCUAUCUAACUGCGUGUCUCAAUGCGCUGCAUUUGCGCUGAGCAAAUAUUAAUCGGCGAAGACGACGCCCCACUCGACGCUCCCAACUUUGAAAUUCAAGCAUCGCUUUGGCUUUGACUACUCCAUUGCCAAAUCAAUUGCACUUACAACAACAAGCACUCGCUCGGCUAUGUAGCUGCAGCUAGCUCACAGGCAAAUGGAAAUCAAUUUUGAAAUGAGAAUCACGUGCCGUCGCUCGACAGGCUCCAGCAGCAGUAGCAGCAGCAGCAGCAGCAGCAGAGGAGCAGCAGCAACCUCUUGCACCUCUUGCAUCUUUAUGCAGUGGCUGCAGUUUCUGUUUGCCUUCGAUUGCCUUGCCAAACAUGUGCAAUCGCUAGCCGUGCAUAAAAUGCAUGACUCUAUGUUAAUUUGCCUGUCAGAGCCGUCUAGCUACACGUGCCCAGCGAUUAUGUGUAUUCAGCGUGCAGCAUGUCAUCGAUCGUGACAAUCAGCCUCGCUCACAGAAGGCCCUUAAGAUGCUUAGAUAUAGAUAGCAUACAGCUAGAAGAUACGAUGCGGCUGAGAUGCCUCAGAACUGGAGACUCGAGAUAUUUCAGAUACCCGAAAGACUCUUACCUACAUCUUAGAUCUGCUCCAAAUAAUCAAUAAGAUAAAGCAUUCAUAAAAGACGUAGAGUUUGCUUUGCUCUGAAAUAUUUUUUUUGAAAAAAUUGAUUUGUCUAUUGCUCUGAAUGGAAGCUAAAGCUAAAGUAUCUAUAAGAAAGUCCAGCAUAUCCAAGGUGCUCUUGUUAAGAUCUGUAAAGUAUUCCAGCGAGUAUCUGUAAACUGAUCAAGUAAGAAUAUCUAAGCUACUUAAGUAAAGAUCUGUUGCCCAAGAUGCUUGAAGUACCAAAAAAGAACCUGGUCUCGUUUAAGAACUGUAAGACGUAUCUGAAAUCUGUAAAAUUAUUAAAUAAGUAUCUCUAAGAUUAUCAAGAAAAUAAGAUACACAGUUAAUAAGAUACACAAGUACAGAUCUGUAAGAUUACCAUUGAAGUAUCUGUAAGAUACUCAAGAAAGAGAUAUAUUGGAUCCUUAAGUAGGUUUCUGCGAGAUACUUAAAGUAUUCAAGUAAACAAUAUUGAAGCACAAAUAAUCUUUUAGAUUUUCUUAGUCAAUGAUCUUUACAGUCAAGUCAGAUACACAAGCAAAGAUCUGUAAGAUUAUCAUUUUAGUAAGAUGUAAGAUGCUCAUGUAAGUAUCUAUAUAAUAUAUAUAUUCAAAUGAGUAUCUAUGAGAUGCAGAAGCAAAGAUCUACAAGAUGCUCAAGUGAGUAAUUCAAAUAUUUCAAUAUUCCCUCAUGGGUAUUCAUAGUUGUAUAUUCCCUAGCUAUCCCCACUUGAUUAAAUGCUUAAUGCUUACGUAAUGAGGUCCAUUUUCAGGUCAGCCGGAAUAAUGGAUAAAGUGCAACAGUGUUCGCUUAAUAGUUAUAGCAUUGGGCAUAAAUAUUAAUUAACGCUUAAGACGACAGCGAAAGGAGAGGAAAACAAAUGACAAGAAAAUGCGAAGGCGACAAAAAAAAAAAAAAAAAAAAAAACAUCAUUAUGAGAUCUCCUUUUGUGAAAUACAUAUUUAUCUUCAUACAAGGCGCCUGGGUGGG